rnacentral:rRNA from 3 species
UGCAGAAUCCCGUGAACCAUCGAGUCUUUGAACGCAAGUUGCGCCCGAAGCCAUCCGGUUGAGGGCACGUCUGCCUGGGCGUC